rnacentral:rRNA from 1 species
AACGCAGCGAAGGGCGAUAAGUAAUGUGAAUUGCAGAUUUUCAGUGAAUCAUCGAAUCUUUGAACGCACCUUGCGCUCCUUGGUAUUCCGAGGAGCAUGCCUGUUUGAGUGUCAUUAAAUCAUCAACCCCACCGAUUUGUUCGGCUUGGGGCUUGGACUUGGAGCGUGCUGGCGAAGGUCGGCUCCUCUUUAAAUGCAUCAGCGGAAGAAUGCAUCUUUUUUCCCUUCAGCGUAAUAAUCCUGUUGCGCUGUGUGUGGGUCAAAGGUGUUCCGCUUAUAAUCGUCCUUCGGACAAACGAACCCCUAUCUAUUUUUUGACCUCAAAUCAGGUAGGACUACCCGCUGAGCUUAA